GACGAACGCUGGCGGCGUGCUUAACACAUGCAAGUCGAACGGAAAGGCCUGCUUUCCCUUGUGGAUUGCGGGUACUCGAGUGGCGAACGGGUGAGUAACACGUGAGUGAUCUGCCCCCAACUUGGGUAUAAGCCUGGGAAACUGGGUCUAAUUCCCGAUAGGACUGCAGGGUGGUGCCUGUGGUGGAAAACGAUUUUCUAGUGGUUGGGGAUGAGCUCGCGGCCUAUCAGCUUGUUGGUGGGGUAAUGGCCUACCAAGGCGGCGACGGGUAGUCGGACUGAGAGGGUGGACGGCGAAAGUGAGACUGAGAUACGGCCCCGACGCGUACGGGAAGUAGCAGUGGGUAAUAUUGCACAAUGAGCGGAAGCCUGAUGCAGCGAGGCCGCGUGGGAGAUGACGGCAUUCGGGUGGUAAACUCCUUUCGAGCGAGAGGAGGACGCCUGGUUGGAAGGGUGGUGACGGUAGUGGUAGAAGAAGCACCGGCUAACUACGUG
rnacentral:rRNA from 1 species